rnacentral:rRNA from 1 species
GAUGAACGCUAGCGGCAGGCUUAACACAUGCAAGUCGAGGGGUAUAGUUCUUCGGAGCUAGAGACCGGCGCACGGGUGCGUAACGCGUAUGCAAUCUACCUUUUGCAGAGGGAUAGCCCAGAGAAAUUUGGAUUAAUACCUCAUAGUAUGUGAGAAUGGCAUCAUUUUCACAUUAAAGUCACAACGGCAAAAGAUGAGCAUGCGUCCCAUUAGCUUGUUGGUAAGGUAACGGCUUACCAAGGCAACGAUGGGUAGGGGUCCUGAGAGGGCGAUCCCCCACAUGAGUACUGCGACACGGACCAGACUCCUACGGGAGGCAGCAGUGAGGAAUAUUGGACAAUGGGCGCAAGCCUGAUCCAGCCAUGCCGCGUGCAGGAUGACGGUCCUAUGGAUUGUAAACUGCUUUUGUACAGGAAGAAACACUGGUUCGUGAACCAGCUUGACGGUACUGUAAGAAUAAGGAUCGGCUAACUCCGUGCCAGCCGCCGCCGUAACAC